UACGGAGGAUCCAAGCGUUAUCCGGAUUUAUUGGGUUUAAAGGGUGCGUAGGCUGUAAAUUAAGUCAGAGGUGAAAUGCUGCAGCUCAACUGUAGAACUGCCUUAGAUACUGGUAUACUAGAGUACAGAUGAAGUGGGCGGAAUGUGACAAGUAGCGGUGAAAUGCAUAGAUAUGUCACAGAACACCGAUAGCGAAGGCAGCUCACUAAGUUGUCACUGACGCUGAUGCACGAAAGCGUGGGGAUCAAACAGG
rnacentral:rRNA from 1 species